rnacentral:rRNA from 1 species
GCCUACGGGGGGCAGCAGUAGGGAAUUUUCGUCAAUGGGCGCAAGCCUGAACGAGCAAUGCCGCGUGAACGAGGAAGGUCUUCGGAUCGUAAAGUUCUGUUGAAGGGGAAGAAGAGCGGAGAGAGGAAAUGGUCUCCGAUUGAUAUUACCCUUCGAGGAAGUCACGGCUAACUACGUGCCAGCAGCCGCGGUAAUACGUAGGUGGCGAGCGUUAUCCGGAAUAAUUGGGCGUAAAGGGUGCGUAGGCGGCCUGCUAAGUCUGGAGUGAAAGGUACCGGCUCAACCGGUACAGGCUCUGGAAACUG